UAGGUUGUGAUAUUUUUUGUAUUGACUUUAUAUGUAGUUUCAUCAUAUUUGAUCUAUUACUAACCUUGUAUAUAUUUUUCAGGUAUGUUGGCCUCAGACUCAGGAUCAGGACAGACCAGACGUGGUCGAGGUGUCACACGAUUGCCAGAUGUGACAUUUGGACGCGUUGAUGGGCAGAGGAGACAUGUUGACAUUGACUCCAGAUCAGGUUCGGCAUCAGAGCCAAAUGCUGAUACGUUUAGGAGUUAUCUGGGUAAGUUAGAAAAAAAUCAUGUCUCUAUCCUUCAUGAGGGAUGACGUCCUAGAGGUCGACAAGAACCUCUUAUGGCAAGAUAUUCAGCAACAUUAUGAUAUUCCAAACAAAAUACAGAUUAGAAAGAAAGUAUUAUUGCAUAUAGCGAUAAGAUGGAGGGAUUUCAAGAGAAGGCUGACACGACUAUAUGUCUUUGGAGAGAGACAACAUGAAAAUCCAUGUCAGCAUUAUACCUUCACAAAGGAGGAGUGGAUAUAGUUUUGUGCAUCUAGAGAGUCUGAGGAAUGGAAGGGCAAAAGGUUAGUCGCCCAAGAAAGGCAAAGGCUAAACGAUGCACCACACUUGUUAUCACGAGGUGGUUAUGCAAAACUGAAAAAAAAAAUUAGAAAGUGUAGAGCGGAUGCUUUGGGGCUUGAGUCCCCAGACCUAGCACCUGCACCUGCUAGGUACGAGCUGUGGAAGGCUGCUCGGACUAAAUCUGAUGGGAACAUGACAUCUUCUUCAGCUGCCUUGAUCUCACAAACAAUUUUAAGUUCAAAUUCUAAACAUUGUUUGAUUGUGUAUUUAUCAUAACAUGUUCUUCUAAGUAACUUAGUUUUUUUUAUGUGCAGGAUGAGUUGGUUGAGCAGCAGACUCAGGGAACAUUUGUUGUCCAAGGUAGGGACAACAUUCUAACAAUGGCCAUUGGAAAGCCUGAGCACCCAGGACGUGUAUGUGGAGUUCUUAGGGCGAUUGGUCUUCGUGACUACUUUGGCCCUACACAGAAAAACACUCAAUCAAUGAGUCAGGAGGAACUGAGGCAGAUGGAUCUUCAGUGGGAGGAAAGACUCAACCAAAGCAUGAGAUCAAUGGAGCAACGAUUCAUGGAGCAGCUACAAGAACAAAAAGAAAUACAAAGAGCGCUUAAAGAGAAGUUGCAUUCCAUGACGCAGGGCACCAUGGGGCCCGUUGAAACUCCCACACCACCUUGUGUCAACACUAAAGGAUCAUGCUCUGCUGUAGAACAUACUCAGUAUAGCGGUCAAUAUGAGUUGUUGGUUGAUGGGGAUCCCCCACGCAUUGUGGUUGUCGAACGAGUGCUUGAGGUAGGGUAGACUAUUCAUGGUGUUCCCAUAUUACUCCACCACGUGCGUGUAACGAUUGACGAAGUUCGGGAUCCCCAGGCUCAGGUGCCUGUACCCACUCCAGAAAUUCAUUUUGAGGGGAAGGCCAUAGGAUCAUUUAUAGCCAGGCCUAGAGCAUUGAUCAUGUCACACAUCGCUACUCCACAGUUCUCACGUCCUCAGAAGAUUAUGACAUGGCUGAAGCGGGGGAUGAUCCUCUAUCAAAGCUAAUGACAAGAUUACCCAGGUUGAAGAGAGCACCAUUAGAACUAUACUGGGAUUUGAGAGUAUUUUGUCUCCCCCCCAUGUGCCACUAUAUAUCACAUUGACUGCUGCAUUGGAGGUGAUUGGGGGAGACAAGAUGUUGAAUAUUUCCAUCAUUCAACUAUGGUACAUGGACACAAUCGUUGUAGACUAAGGUCGGUCUUCCAUGUACGGAUUUGUUGAACCUCAGACCAUUCAACCUUCUGGUAACACACUUGAAAGAAAACAACAUUAUUUGCAAACAUGGAUGGAUGAGUCAAAAAGAGACGUAUACCUUGUGCCAUACAUUGAUGGGUCGCACUGGCAGCUGAUGGUCAUCAUUCCCAAACAAUGUAAAAUUAUAUGGUUUUGUUCGUUGCACAGGAAGUUGAAAACUGACUUGAGAACAAUGCUUCAAGGAGUUAUUGGUAGAUCUCGAGGUCAACUAGUUCAAAUUUUGUAUCCAAAGGUUGUAAGUCAUUUAUACUUCUAAUUCAUUUUCUAUGUUAUUGAAUGAUCUAAAUUCUUGACUAUUUAGUUUGUCAUUUUAGUGUAACCAGCAGCUAGAUUCAUGGGAAUGUGGC